rnacentral:lncRNA from 10 species
AGAAGGAGGUGGCAGUGAGCCGAUAUCAUGCCACUGCACUUCAGCCUGGCUGACAGAGUGAGACUCUGCCUCAAAACAAACAAAAACAAACAAACCAACAAAAAAACUAUAAGGGAGAGAGGGAAAGCUUCCCCCCUUCAACCUCUGAAGGUUUGCUGAAAAUGAACUAACAAAAGGCAGAUUAUUAGGAGAAAAGGGCAUACAAAUGUAUUUUAAUGUGCGCGGCACAAGGGAAUUGCAGAAGAAUGAUAAUCCAAUAAUCCAAUGGGGUUCAGAUACUUACAUUUGUUACUUCACACAGCAAGAGGAA